rnacentral:rRNA from 1 species
UAAUACGAGGGGUGCAAGCGUUGCUCGGAAUUAUUGGGCGUAAAGGGCAAGUAGGUGGUCUCAUUUGUCUACAGGUGAAAUCCUUGGGCUUAACUCAAGAAGUGCCUUAGAAACGGUGAGACUCGAGUACUGGAGAGGGUCGUGGAAUUCCCGGUGUAGCGGUGAAAUGCGUAGAGAUCGGGAGGAACACCAGCGGCGAAGGCGGCGACCUGGACAGUUACUGACACUCAACUGCGAAAGCGUGGGGAGCAAACAGGAUUAGAUACCCUGGUAGUCCACGCUGUAAACGAUGGGAACUAGGUUUGGCGGGAUUUGACCCCUGCCGAACCGGAGCUAACGCAAUAAGUUCCCCGCCUGGGAAGUACGGUCGCAAGACUA